rnacentral:rRNA from 1 species
CGUAGGGGCGAAGCGUUGUCCGGAAUUACUGGGUGUAAAGGGAGCGCAGGCGGAGAAGCAAGUCAGUGGUGAAAAACGAAUGGGCUUAACUCAUCGACUGCCAUUGAAACUGUUUCCCUUGAGUGAAGUAGAGGCAGGCGGAAUUCCGAGUGUAGCGGUGAAAUGCGUAGAUAUUCGGAGGAACACCAGUGGCGAAGGCGGCCUGCUGGGCUUUAACUGACGCUGAGGCUCGAAAGUGUGGGGAGCAAACAGGAUU